AACGUAGGACGCAAGCGUUAUCCGGAGUUACUGGGCGUAAAGGGCGGGCAGGCGGUCUGUUAAGUUCGAGGUGAAAGCGCCCGGCUCAACCGGGCGAGGCCCUUGGAAACUGAUGGACUGGAGGGCAGUAGAGGCAGGCGGAAUUCCGGGUGGAGUGGUGAAAUGCGUAGAGAUCCGGAGGAACCCCAGAGGCGAAGGCGGCCUGCUGGGCUGCCCCUGACGCUGAGCCGCGAAAGCCAGGGGAGCGAACGGG
rnacentral:rRNA from 1 species